rnacentral:rRNA from 1 species
AGAAGCAGUAGCAAUACUGUGAGUAAAGUGGCGUACGGGUGAGUAACACGUGGAUCAUCUACCUUCUAGUGGGGAAUACCCCCGGGAAACUGGGGACAAUACCGCAUAAGCUCGUAAGAGGAAAGCAGCAAUGCGCUUGGGGAGGAGUUCGCGGCCGAUUAGUUAGUUGGCGGGGUAAUGGCCCACCAAGACGAUGAUCGGUAUCCGGCCUGAGAGGGCGCACGGACACACUGGAACUGAAACACGGUCCAGACUCCUACGGGAGGCAGCAGUGGGGAAUUUUGCGCAAUGGGGGAAACCCUGACGCAGCGACGCCGCGUGGAGGAUGAAAUCCCUUGGGAUGUAAACUCCUUUCGAUUGGGAAGAUUAUGACGGUACCAAUAGAAGAAGCCCCGGCUAACUUCGUGCCAGCAGCCGCGGUAAUACGAGGGGGGCAAGCGUUGUUCGGAAUUAUUGGGCGUAAAGGGUGCGUAGGCGGUUUGACAAGUCUUAUGUGAAAUCUAUGGGCUCAACCCAUAGUCUGCAUGAGAAACUGUUGAGCUUGGGUAUGGGAGAGGUGAGUGGAAUUUCCGGUGUAGCGGUGAAAUGCGUAGAUAUCGGAAGGAACACCUGUGGCGAAAGCGGCUCACUGGACCAUAACUGACGCUGAGGCACGAAAGCUAGGGGAGCAAACAGGAUUAGAUACCCUGGUAGUCCUAGCCCUAAACGAUGAUUGC